CGGAGCAUGCGGAUUAAUUCGAUGCAACGCGAAGAACCUUACCAAGGCUUGACAUGCACCGGAAACCGCCAGAGAUUGGUGGCUCCGUAAGGCUGGUGCACAGGUGGUGCAUGGUUGUCGUCAGCUCGUGUCGUGAGAUGUUGGGUUAAGUCCCGCAACGAGCGCAACCCUCGUCCCAUGUUGCCAGCGGGUGAUGCCGGGGACUCAUGGGAGACUGCCGGGGUCAACUCGGAGGAAGGUGGGAUGACGUCAAAUCAUCAUGCCCCUUAUGUCUUGGGCUUCACGCAUGCUACAAUGGCCGGUACAGAGGGUUGCGAUGCCGUGAGGCGGAGCGAAUACCCAAAAAGCCGGUCUCAGUUCGGAUUGGGGUCUGCAACUCGACCCCCAUGAAGUCGGAGCCGCUAGUAAUCGCAGAUCAGCAACGCUGCGGUGAAUACGUUCCCGGGCCUU
rnacentral:rRNA from 1 species